UGCGUAGGCGGAUUAAUAAGUCAGUGGUGAAAUCUUUCGGCUCAACCGAGAAACUGCCAUUGAUACUGUUAAUCUUGAGUUCGGUUGAGGUAGGCGGAAUGUGUAAUGUAGCGGUGAAAUGCUUAGAUAUUACACAGAACACCAAUUGAGGCAGCUUACUAGACCGACACUGACGCUGAGGCACGAAAGCGUGGGGAGCGAACAGGAUUAGAUACCCUGGUAGUCC
rnacentral:rRNA from 1 species